GAAAAUGAUGGAAAACACAGAAGAGCAGCAGAAGUGGGUAGAAGACUACUACAGAUGCCAGAUCGCCACUUCUGAAAGAAAGGCUCACGACAACUGGCUCUGUGUUUAAGCCUUGCAGAGGGAGAUGCAAGAGAAGAAGGCUGCCUACAAGCAGCACAGCAGAUUCAGGCCCUUAUUUAAUUCCCAUGAGGAACAGCAGCUGCAUCCCAACUGAGAGCACAGAGAAGAUAAAGGUCAAUAUGGCUUCAGGAAGACCCCUUUUUCAGGAUUGCCCUACUUGCUCUACUGCAUGGCUGGCUCUUCAGGACCAUUCAUGGGCUACCAGACACCUCCUCUGCCUGGGUGGCCUCUGGGAACACGACCACUGCCUCCAUGCACACCACUUGGACAAGCUGAAAUUUGAAGAGGCCCCUGAGCUGUGACAGCCAUGCUGUGGCUCCUACAUAACUUGGAAAAGUAUCCAAUAUGUUUUAUGCUGCCUGCCCACUGCUGCCUCAUCUGUCUCUAAUCUU